CGUGUUCCGUUUUCUUCUCCUUCUUCUUCUGUUUUCAUUUCCUUCUUCUUCUUCUCUUUUUCUUUUUUUGGCACUUUUCCAGCAUGUACCCAUCGACUCAUUUCUCCUUGUGAAUAUUUUCCAACGACUUUUCACUUUUCUGAGCAUCCUCUGUCUUCUCCGCUGGAUCGAAUACUCUGAUAUCAUUUUGUUAGGAACCAACCCUUAUUCAACUAAAACACAAAAAACAUAAUAAACUAAAACUAUUUUAUUAAUAAAAAGAUUACAAUGAUAAACCAAACAAUUCAAGGAGUUCGAAACCUCCAAUUUUCCGGUCGUUCGAGGCGCCUGAGACCUUAUACAAUCAACCAAGGAUGGCUGCCUACAUACAAAACCCUAAUAUAUUUUCUUCUCCCCCUUUUUGAAACCCAAACAUAUAUUUAUAAUAGAGAUUGAUCAUUGGAUUGAGGACAAGUGUCCCAAUCCUAACACAGUUGCUCUUUGCUGGUAAAACUAUGGAAGAUAUCUUUUGGCUUCAAGUAGAUUCAAGGUGGUUUAAUAUUUCUACACAGCUUCAGGAUUUUGAGUUACGACAAUUUAUUAAUGACACAUAUCGCCUACCUGAGAGACCGAAAGUUGUUUUCGGACUUCUGGGUUCCACAGCUUAUACAUAGCUUGAUAAUGCAGCAUAUAGAGAAUUUCUUUGCAAAGAGUUGAAUGUCUCAACUAUUGAUGAAGAGAGUGCUUCCAUUGUGAUGACAUGUCUAUCAAAUGGGGUGCCCUCUAUUGUAUUUCAUGGAAUUUUAGAUUUGGCUGGUGGGGAAGAAAAGCUAUUGUCCUUCAGCCUCAGUUCACUAGCUUCUAUCAAUGCUUUGAGUGUUGCAGUUGAGUUUAUUACAUUACUUGAUAAGGAAAACACACUUCAUGGCCACCAAAAACUGGUAUUUUUUUCAGCAUUUUGACAGUAAACAAGGAUUUUUUAUCUCUAUUCUGAAAAAUAGGUAAAAGUAUUGCUGACAAUC